UACAGAGGUCUCAAGCGUUGUUCGGAUUCAUUGGGCGUAAAGGGUGCGUAGGUGGCGGGGUAAGUCAGGUGUGAAAUCUCGAGGCUCAACCUCGAAACUGCACUUGAUACUGCCUUGCUAGAGUACUGGAGAGGAGAUUGGAAUUUACGGUGUAGCAGUGAGAUGCGUAGAUAUCGUAAGGAAGACCAGUGGCGAAGGCGAAUCUCUGGACAGUUACUGACACUGAGGCACGAAGGCCAGGGGAGCAAACGGG
rnacentral:rRNA from 1 species